UAAUGCAAAUGUCAUCCCUAGUAACAGUGAGGAUGGAUCUCUUGCUUGCUGCAGGAGGCUAUGAAACAGACAUACCAGAGAGCCCUAAAAGCGGCAACAGAUUUUGGUUAUCAAAAGGAAAGUCCAGAGGCGUUGGUCCAUGGAGCAGUGAUCUCUGCUUUCCUAACGAUUGCCAACGGUAUGGUGGACCAAGGAUGUGUAUAAAUUGCAGCUUUUUCUUGAUAUAGCUAAAUAUCAUAUUUAAUUACUUUUUAUUUGACGUCAAAUAAAAAGUAUGGUGGACCAGGAUCUUAUACAGUGCUUGAUAUUGUAGAUGGUGGGAGGAAUAUAUGUUUGUCAUUGUAGUGUACAUGUAUUAUGUAGGUGAGUUAAUGUCAGAGCUUUGGUAGGAUGUACUACAUUUCUAUGUUAGCUAGGUUUAGUUAGCUGCUGAAAUACAAAAAGUAAUUGUGAAAGCAAACACUUGGUAUUGUGGGGUUGAUGGACUUUUAAGUUUUCAGCAAGGAAAUCCUUAUAACUUGGAUGGACUCCAAUAAACCUUUCAAAGAUAAAAAGGCAAGAGAACACUCUGAUAAGUUGGAUGCAUGCUGUUACACCAAAAAGAAAUACACUAUUUUUCAGGGGUUUUGAUCUGAA